UGUGUGUGUGUGUGUGUGUUUGUUUGUGUGCUUGCGCGUGUUUUUAAUAUAACAUUGUUUGGAUAUAUAAUAUUUACUUUUUAAAGGCACAAGACCUAAGGUCAUCUUUUGAGCUUUUACCAAGUAAACAGUGUGGCCAGCAGUGUCCAUGAGAGACAGAGCACUUCCAGCCCACUGGAGCCUCUCAGCCAAGCCUGCCACAGCAGAGGAAACCACCACCAGCCAUCUACUGUCUUUUGCUCCAGAAAUCCGCAGCAUGGCUGGUGAGAUUUCAUUCUUCUGUGUCUAGAAAUCCACAGCAUGGCUGGUGAGACUUCAUUCUUCUGUGUCUUCCCUUCUUCUCCUCAGAAUUAUGGAGCUUGGUCCCCACUGGACAGCUUCCAAAUGGACACAAACUAAGGAAACUCGGGGUACUUCUGCUGCUGUUUCUCCUGCUCCCCGUGAUUGUAUUUUCCCGGCACGCCAACAGAAAGGUCCCGUCGGCAACGCAAUCGCUGGGGAAACCUGCUGCUGCCCGUCUGACCCGUGUCGCCUGGACAUCUCCAACGAGAGGAAAGGCCUGCACGGGACCACACAUGGAAAAGCGAGUGUCAAAGUGUCAAAGGAGCCCUGCCCGUUAAGACUGCAAGUUUAUCACUCAUCAUUCCCAUCGCUGAUCUUUAGUCCCUCGAUGCAGAGCAGCACUGUGCCAGUCUGUAGGCAUCCUUGUUUAAACACUGGCUGGGGUCAUAAGUGAAAUGAAGUUUGGUCCUCAUUUACCUCAUGCCAGCAGUUGGGUUGGCACACAGCUGCAGAGCUGCUGGGGUCCUUUUUAUUUAAUUUGGCAUCCCUUCCUGAGCAGUACUGAGACUUUGCUUCAAUGACUCCACUGGGCCCUGCCAUAAUUUCUGCAUACCAUCAGAAAAGGCUGUGAAGAGAUGCACUUGAACUUGGUUUAAGGUGGACACAGGUGGCUUCAGAGCAAACCUGAAGGGCCUGCUGCACUUACCACACAGGUGCUUGGGCUGAAGUCAACAGAGAGUGAAACUCAGAUGCAAAUCAAAGAAUAUAAAAAGAUACUGACUAAAUGUAGCAGUGAAAUGGACUUUAAGGAAUAGAAUUUGACCAUCUUAACACCAUGUGCAGGCCUAAGGGGUUGUCCUUUUUGUAGUUUUUCUUAGAAUAGCUUUCCUAACAUCUGAACAGUAUUGUCAAAACAAAAGGUCUCUCAGGCUCUGAGAGAGUCCUGUUUAUUGCGUGGGUUGGUCUUAUGGCUGACACAGUGCAGUCCUGUUUCUGACAUGUAAAGUGAAGUCCAAGUAUGAUACGUGGAAACAGGGAAGAGUGGUGGGGACAGCAGGCAUGAUGCAGCAUGCAGGAAAUGCACCUGUGAAUGCAGCAACCCCUUCAGCAAAGUUGCCCUUUGCAGGGUUGAGGAUGGGCAGUGCUGGGAGGGGGAGGGGCUCCCCGGUUUUGCUAACAGCCUGCCUAGCCAGUCAGUGAGUGACCCUGUCUCAAAAGGUAAGGUGGGAAAGCAAUUGAGGAAGACAGCCGACAUCAGCCUCUGGCUCCACAUGCACCCUAUGUCCACCACACACGUGUGAACCCGCAUACAUGUACACCUCCAAACAUGCCCACUCCUAUGUGUUCACAUGAACAUGUCCACAAAUGAUUUCUGCAGUCAGAAUAGAAGACAGUUUCCCUGGGUCUGCUUUUCUGCUUUCCAUGUCAUGGGCUGAUGUUCCCAAACAGGAAGAGAAGGAUGCAAGGAAGUAGAUCGGUCAGUGUCAGAACUAUGAGGUCAGGCCCACAGAGUACCCGAGACAUGGCCUGAUUCCAGAGCCCAAGUCACAGAUGGACAAUGCCUAAGGAGAAGAAAUAAUCUGUCCAGAAAUCACAGACAUUCAGGACAGAUCCAGAACUGGAGCCUGUACAAACACCGGUUUUUAAUUUGGAAAAGUUUUAUUUUUUAGAAUUUUCUAAUUUUUUCUUUCCUUAAAAAAACAUUUCAAUUUAAUCCACCCAGAGUUUUCUUUGGUACAAGGUGCAAGGCUAGGAUCUGACUCACUGCUGUUUUUAAACCUUUCUCCAAGCCACUGGCGGCUCUGCUGGCAAGCCCCCCUCUCCCUGCUGGUUCCCAGUGCCUCCUUUACCACACAGAGGGCAAUGUCUGUGCUCACUUUUCUAUGCCACUGAUCUGUUGAUUUCUAUCCAUAGAGUGUCAUCAUAAUUACUGUCAUCCUAGCAUGUUUUAGUAAGUGGUAUGAAAAGUCCACUUUCAUUAAUCUUCCUUAGGGGAAAAGAGGUCUUUUGCUCAUUUAUUCCUCACAAUAAUAAACAUUGGCAGGUUGAAAAGAAUUAACAUUUCACUCAAGCAAAAUAAAACUCCUAUGAAUUUUCA